CGGCGGAGCGGGCUGCGCUCCCCGCGGCUGCGGCGGGGCUUCACCCCGCUUCGUGCGGCCCCAGCGCCCGCCCCAGGGGCCGCGCCCGGCACCUCCUCGGCGGGGCUGCUGUCCCCGGGACGCCGUGACGGCUGUGCGCUCCCCGCCCUUCUCACCGCCCCUCUCCCCUUUCCUCCUCCUCCUCUUCCUCCUCCUCCUUCGGGAGCCUUGCCUCCCCUGCACACCUGCCUUGCCAUUUGUCGGCGGCUUUGCUAGGAGGGAAGAAUUUUCCCUCGGUCCCUUACAGCAUCCCUCCCCGGCACACACACACACACACACACACACACAUACACGCACGCUCACACAGCCGGACGGGCAGAGGCACCGCGCUGCCCGUGCCUCGCUGGCCGCCGCCUCUCCGCACCUCGGCCCCGCGCUCCUCGCCGCCGCGGGGCGUCCUCCGCCUGCUGCAGCGCCGCCGGGCCCGGCAGCCGCCGAAGGGGGGUGGCGGCGGCGGCUCCCGCUGCUCCGCGGCCCCGCACCGGCAGCGAUCUUGGAUUCUGAACUUGAAGCAAUUCUUCAAGACUAUAUGCUUCCUGAAACUCAAAAACUAUCUGCAAUAAAUAGGAUUGGCCAUGAGAAUUUGUAA
rnacentral:lncRNA from 1 species